rnacentral:rRNA from 1 species
CGGAGGGUGCAAGCGUUAUCCGGAUUCACUGGGUUUAAAGAGUGCGUAGGUGGGUUGGUAAGUCAGUGGUGAAAUCCCCGAGCUUAACUUGGGAACUGCCAUUGAUACUAUCAGUCUUGAAUACCGUGGAGGUCGGCGGAAUAUGUCAUGUAGCGGUGAAAUGCUUAGAUAUGACAUAGAACACCAAUUGCGAAGGCAGCUGACUACGCGAGUAUUGGCACUGAGGCACGAAAGCGUGGGGAUCAAACAGGAUUAGAUACCCUGGUAGUCCACGCCCUAAACUAUGGAUACUCGACAUACGCGAUACACUGUGUGUGUCUGAGCGAAAGCAUUAAGUAUCCCACCUGGGAAGUACGAUCGCAAGAUUG